rnacentral:tRNA from 1 species
GCCGGGGUGAUGGAAUGGCAGACAUUGAGGACUUAAAAUCCUCUGCCCGUAAGGGCGUGCGGGUUCGACUCCCGCCCCCGGCA